CCGCGGUCAGUUUGAAUAGCUUUGCAGCUUUAAUGCAGUAACACUCUUCAAGCGAGAAGCUGCUAUGGUGGAGAUUUCCUCAAAACAUUGCUUAACAGGCCUGUUGGCAGAGGGUGGGACCAAUGAGGAGGAGAUUUAUAGAUUAAAUUCUGUAUCCAACAGUGACUACUUCACAUUGUGCUGGAUAUGAUUUGUGUAUGUUUAUAUAUACGGACACACUGCUGCCCCGGGUACGAUUGGAGUUGUGUUUCUGCUGCAGAGCCUGCUGUAUUCUUUGGAGCAGAAACACAAGUGCUAGUUUGUGAAGAAAGGGUCCUCAAAUUCACAUCAAGCUGAACAAAGGAAAGCAGCGUGGGUUUUUUUUUUUUUUGGUUUUUUUUUACUUACAGCUGAUAGAGGAUUAUUGUGGAUGCGAUAACUCAAGAACAAAGUGACAAAGGAGUUUCAAAUGCCACAGGUGCAUAAUCUCGGAUGACUCGGACAACUGAUGGUCUCAGUGACCUGGAGGUCGGGUUUUCUGAAAAUCUUGUGAAUGCAAUAAUUUGAGAAUAAGGUGGCUUAGAAUUUUACAACUGAUACCAUACCACUGGGAAACACCAGUAUUUUUAGUCAUUGUAAGUCCCAAGGCCCCUGCAAGAUGAAGGAUGGAUGACAUGGACAUACUGCAAGAUAACUCAUGAGAGCAAGCUUUUCUUACUUUUGAAUUUCUUCUUGAUCUUUAGCUCCUGUUAAGAUCCCGAAAACUCCAGAAUAAAGCCUGAUAAAUUUCAUUAAUAAUCUAAUAACCUCUAUGCAAGCCAGUAUCACGGCAACGCGUGAAAUAGAUAUGCUGGUCCACCGUGUCUCUUUGGACAUGUAUGCAGAAGUUGCCAGCAAUCUCGGAGUAGUGUAUAUAGAAUUUGUAAUGUUAGAAUUUUGUAAACUCACCUGAGAGUGAAUAAUGGUUUAGUCCAUAAUGUUUGAGACUAUUUAAGGCUGCCAUUCGUCAUUAGAGAAGAGAGUUAUUGCUGUUGCUGACAGAAGGCUUGUGCUCCCAUUAAUUGUCGUGGCGUUAGAUAUAUGUGGCCAAAUAAACGCCUCUUGCUUCCACCAUACUUUGUCUCCGUCUGUAUCAUCUCUGUAAAUCCAAAAGGCCGUCUUGUCACAGGGAGAUAAUAUAUUUGAAGCCACAAAGUCGGUAGUGAGCAAAAAAACAUGUGAAGUACAUUCCAGGGUCCUUUAAACUAGCUGGCUAGUAUUUAUUUACGUGUAAAUGUGUUAAUAAUGUCUGUUUAAACACUUUCCCGUGAUUAUUUUCAUGUUGGCUUAAAAUAAAAUAUCAGUGUUGCCUCUUUCAAAGUAACAGUAGCACUAAUGUAUGCAUCACUGUACUAACUAAAAAGCAUGAAC
rnacentral:lncRNA from 1 species